UACGUAGGGGGCAAGCGUUUGUCCGGAAUCAUUGGGCGUAAAGCGCGUGUAGGCGGCUCGAUAAGUCUGCUGUGAAAGUCCAGGCUCAACCCUGGGAUGCCGGUGGAUACUGUCGAGCUCGAGUCCGGAAGAGGCGAGUGGAAUUCCUGGUGUAGCGGUGAAAUGCGCAGAUAUCAGGAGGAACACCAUGGCGAAGGCAGCUCGCUGGGACGUGACUGACGCUGAGACGCGAAAGCGUGGGGAGCAAACAGG
rnacentral:rRNA from 1 species